rnacentral:lncRNA from 1 species
GCGUCCGAGGUCGUUUUCCGGAUUACCUUCAUGAGGAACGCUCAAAGCCAUAUAUUUGAAAGCCGAAUAUUUUGAAGACCAUAAACGUUAAAAUGUUAACACCCAAAAGAAAGUAAACGACUAUGAUAAUAACUAUAUCACGACAAAGGUCUUAUUGGACGAUUUCAUUUUAAAAUGAUGUCAUAAAUAUAUGCAAACUUCUGUUGACUAGUAACUAACAGCUUAUCUCUGAAAAUGGAUGUCGGCCUAUCAAGACCAUCUUCUUUGGUCAGAAUUUGAUUGUACUGUCUGCCAUCAGGAGAUAUGACCACCACAUUACAUGAAUCCAUUCCAGCAACAAAAGUGUUCCCGUUGUUGUCUAUGGUAAUUCCUUGCGGAUACUCUAACACGCCUUCAUCCUUGAACUUCCACACUAAUUCUCCACUAUAUUAACAGCACGUUACUGUGUGUUUAUCAGGAUUUG